ACGAACGCUGGCGGCGUGCUUAACACAUGCAAGUCGAACGGAAAGGCCCUGCUUUUGUGGGGUGCUCGAGUGGCGAACGGGUGAGUAACACGUGAGUAACCUGCCCUUGACUUUGGGAUAACUUCAGGAAACUGGGGCUAAUACCGGAUAGGAGCUCCUGCUGCAUGGUGGGGGUUGGAAAGGUUCGGCGGUUGGGGAUGGACUCGCGGCUUAUCAGCUUGUUGGUGCGGUAGUGGCUUACCAAGGCUUUGACGGGUAGCCGGCCUGAGAGGGUGACCGGCCACAUUGGGACUGAGAUACGGCCCAGACUCCUACGGGAGGCAGCAGUGGGGAAUAUUGCACAAUGGGCGGAAGCCUGAUGCAGCAACGCCGCGUGCGGGAUGACGGCCUUCGGGUUGUAAACCGCUUUCGCCUGUGACGAAGCGUGAGUGACGGUAAUGGGUAAAGAAGCACCGGCUAACUACGUG
rnacentral:rRNA from 1 species